rnacentral:misc_RNA from 1 species
AUUUCUGACAUAAAAACCAAACCUAUCUGAGGCAGCUUAAUACACACUGUAAGUCCCCCUAUUUGAAGGAAAAACACCAAGACGGAGACCACAAAUCGGAGGAGGAGCUUACUUUGCUGCUUAGACUACUCAGGAAAUAUACUAUGAGCAAGAUUGCGGUGGAUAAAUAAGAUUAAAGAAACCACAAGAUAGAAGGGAUACUCAUCAAAGCUACUGCUUUUGUAGCCUAGUGUUUUGAAUUGAAAUGCUUCUUUGAGACCACUUCAUUAGUAGAUACUUUCUUUCAGCCAACUUCAGUUGCACCACCGGGUUGGCACGAAUAUGUAUAUGCGAAUAACCCUAACCCACACAAACGAAGUAUAAAUCUUCAACCAGGGGUGGUGAUUACUAUUAAACGUAUUCACAAUUUUACCAACCAGCUCUAUCCUGAGUACUCUCCCGUUAAGCUGUCACAAAAACAACAAUAGCCAGUAAUAUUUAUACGAAUCCUUCAGCAUGUCACUGUGGACGUCGCUUCAUCGUCUUUGCUCAACGACGAUUUUUGCAGUUUUGCCCGACAUUUAUUGAUGCCAUAAAGUUGAAGAUUUAUGAUACAACCGCCCGACGAACCAAAGAAAUGACUUUGGUAUUAUUUUUCAAAUAGUGUUUCGAGGGGGUUUCACAUAGACUACCCUGAACUGUACUUCAGCGUAUGAAUUUGACAUGCUGUAAGUGGUAUACAAUUUCUUGAAGCUGGAUUGAUUUCGAAUCCAAUUUGUUACAUUAGAAAUCGAACACAUCACAACAGCUGGUGAAUAUUUUUACUUAUGUGCGGUUGUAAAGAAAUACGUUUUGUUGCAAGCAAACAAACAAAGGAAUGUAAAUAAUGUCGAUUUCCUGCCGAAUUUGCUUUGUGGAAAGCUCGGACAAUUUUUCUAUUCACAGUUGCAUGAAGGGGAAAUUUUUACCUGAUGUCAUUUACAACAUCAGUGGAGUGAGGGUUUUGAAAAAAUUUGAACCCAACACACAAAUUUGUCGACGCUGCGCUGCCUCGGUAUUGGUAGCUGAGAAUAUAAUUUUACGAUGUCAGGAAUCGGAGGAGUACUUUCAGUUUCAACUUUUGCAAGAAGGAUGCCUUCAAGGCCAACAAGUAAACCCGACAUCUGCUUGUCAGUAUACGAAUGAGAGAGAAUCGCCUAGAAUCGAUUAUGAAGAAUAUUGUUCUGGAAUCACUUGUGACGAUGAUUUUGAAGAAUCUUUAAAUUGGCAACCACGUUUGGCUGAUUCCAAAUACCAAACAAAAUCUAAAAGCAUAAAAGAGAACAUAAGUGACGUUGUUAAUUGCGAAGACAAUCUACUUCGAAAUUCAGCUCAGUAUGAACCAGAAGCUAAAACAAUUAAUAAUAUAGAAACUACUACUUUAUCUAUGUUCUCUUGUGAUCAAUGUGAUUAUAGCACCAAGGUAGGCAAACGUAUAAUAGAACAUAAGCAAACUGAUCAUGGAGUGCAUGAUCCGAACAUAUACGCUUGUACAAUUUGUUCUGAACGUUUUUCUUGGAAACCGACACUAUAUCGCCACAUAGAAUUAAUACAUAAAACUUUACCUGCAGAUAAGAAAUUCUUAUGUAAUGAAUGUGGCCGUGCUUACAUGCGUGAAGUACAUCUAAUCGAACAUAUAAAACAACGGCAUGGACCACGCAAAUUCAAAUGCCCUGACCCAUUAUGCGAACAAUCCUUUACACGAACAUUCACGCUUAGACGACAUUUUAUCACCACACAUACCGAAAAGACAAGUACACGUUAUCAUUGUGUCGAUUGCGAUAAAUAUUUCAAAGUUUACGAUCAAUGGAAGUACCACAAUGAAGUGGUUCAUAAAAAUGAGAUCGUAUACUGUCCGCAUUGCGGGUAUCCUUUCCGUUUCAAAGAAAAAUUAGAGGAACAUUUGCAGAAAGAUGUCUGCAAGCGUAGUGUUGUGCCUUGCUCUUAUUGCCAAAGGCGUUUUACUACAAAAUCUGGACUCAGGGAGCACGUACGUAAUAUACAUAACAUCUAUUAGAGAAGGUAUGUAACCCGUGUGAUGUGGUGUCAAACGAUUUGAAGCAUAUAAAAUGUGAUUUUGGUAUCACUUUAUAUCUCGUUAAAUAGUUUGAAUUUGAGACAGGAACUCAUUUAUAUACAUAUAUAUUGUAGUAUACCAUCAAUGCAUUCAAAAAUUGAUGUAUGCAUAUUUCGAAACUUUUCAUACAACUCAUUUUAAAUAAAGAUUUUUAAACAGUGGCCUAUGUAGCCUCGGAGUUGCCAUAUCACUAAAAUAGACAGAAUCCUCCGCAAAUCCGGACGGUAAAUAGUUUAACAAUGUGGAAGCACUAGGCAUUAUUUACGAACAACUGUAACAAAACAACAACGCAAAGACGGAUAAAAAAUAUAAAAUAAACCAAGGUAAAUUUAACAAAAUACAUACAUAUAUUGUAUAUGUAUGAGCAAUUUGCAUGAACAUAAGAGCAUUUUCUUAAGGGAAAGGAAAUAAAUUAAAAGAAAUCGUUCAGAACACCAUUUGCAAAAUAGCAAUAAAUAAUGAGACUGUGAAAGCUUUAAAGCUAAGAGAAAGAAAUUAUCUGUUUGUGUAUUUCAAUUGAGCAAACCCAAACGCCACAGAUACCGAAACAUAUAAUUAUGGUCUUAUACAAUCAACAAAUCGAACUGUCUGCCAUAAGCCAAAAUGUUAAUGUGCUUUAAUUAAAUUAUGAAAGAAGUGACGUAGCAGAUUGUGUGUUGGGAACCUAUGGCGUUUCUACUGAUUGUAGCAGAGGGAGGAGCAGUGGCUUGGUAUUGUUGCACAGGUUAUUUGCCAAUUUACUGUCUCAGCCGGCAAUAUCGAUAAAUAUUUGAGUUUGAGGAAAUAGGUUAUUAAAUAAUUUAAGGGGCUCAACGAUUUACUAUCAAAUUCAACUGAACAUACGAAAUUUCAGUGCAACAUGAAUAAGUGCGCUGAAACCAUAGCAAUAAUAUAUGAGAUUAUGUGAAGAGGUUGCAUUAAAUAUAACGGCAAUCUGAACAAAAUUACAUUUUUGUACUUGUACUAGUUACAAUUUUAUCAAUUCAUCUUGAUGGUUAUUAAUUUACCGCAGCAAAGGCAUAAGACAUCUCAAGAAAGCUUAGCAUAUUAAAGAGCGGUCCGACAAAUAUAUAUAUUAU